GUUGUAGCUUAGUGGUCAGAGCGUCGGACUCACGAUUUGAAGGUCGGGGGUUCGAUUCCCGAACCAAC
rnacentral:tRNA from 1 species